CCUCCGAUAAUAUGUAACUGCAACUGUGGUGGAGCAAAGGGCGAUUCUAAAACUGAAGGGAAUUCUGGAACUACUGGAAGUAGAGGAAGUGUUGACAAUGCUGGUAGUAGAAGUGGUGACAAUAAUGGAAAUGCCGGAAACCAUGAAAAUGAAGGAAAUGAUGGCCCUAAUGUAAACAAUAAUCCAGAUGGAAAUGAAGAAAAUGGAAGAAUUCCUGAAAAUAGAGAAAGUGGAUCCAUACGAUAUUAGAAGACGAAGCUCAUAAAAUAGUAGAUAUGAUGAAAACCAUUAAGUCCAUUAGAUAAAUGCUGAUAAGAAAUGUGUAUUUUUUAUUAUAAUUACGUGUUCUUCAAUUUUAAGAAGUUAGCGUUAUAUCCAAUAAUUUGAAUAUUAUUUCAUAUAUUUCAACCAACACCGCUUUAAUUCCUGUCAUAUUCCUGUGUAAAAUCGAACUUCAUCCCUAUGUAAUUAUAUUCUAUUACCGAAU